UUAAACCAAAGGGUUUGAUCCUGGCUCAGAGUGAACGCUGGCGGCGUGGUUUAGGCAUGCAAGUCGAGCGCGAAAGUCACCUUCGGGUGGUGAGUAGAGCGGCGCAAGGGUGAGUAAUGCAUGGGUAACGUACCCCUGGGACCGGGAUAGCUGCUGGAAACGGCAGGUAAUACCGGAUGGUCAGUGCAGACGGCAUCGUCAGCACUGUAAAUGGUAGUUCGCUUCUGCCCAGGGAGCGGCCCAUGUCCUAUUAGCUUGUUGGUGGGGUAAUGGCCUACCAAGGCAUUGAUGGGUAGCCGGACUGAGAGGUUGGCCGGUCACACUGGGACUGAGACACUGCCCAGACUCCUACGGGAGGCUGCAGUCGAGAAUCUUCCGCAAUGGACGCAAGUCUGACGGGGCGACGCCGCGUGUGGGAUGAAGGCCUUCGGGUUGUAAACCACUGUUGGGUAAUAGGAAUGCUCUGGGGUUAAUAGCCCUCUGAGUUGACCAAGGCCUGAGGAAGCACUGGCUAACUCCGUGCCAGCAGCCGCGGUAAUACGGAGAGUGCAAGCGUUACUCGGAAUCACUGGGCAUAAAGAGCACGUAGGCGGGAAGAUGUGUCGGUGGUGAAAGCCCCCAGCUCAACUGGGUGAACUGCCUCCGAAACUGUCUUUCUUGAGGCCGAGAGGGGUGAGUGGAACUUCUGGUGGAGCGGUGAAAUGCGUAGAUAUCAGAAGGAACACCGGUGGCGAAAGCGACUCACUGGCUCGGUUCUGACGCUGAGGUGCGAAAGCGUGGGUAGCAAACAGGAUUAGAUACCCUGGUAGUCCACGCCGUAAACGAUGGGCACUAGGCAGGCGGGGUUCCGAUGCCCUGCUUGCUGGAGCUAAUGUGUUAAGUGCCCCGCCUGGGGAGUACAGUCGCAAGGCCGAAACUCAAAGGAAUUGACGGGGGCUCACACAAGCGGUGGAGCAUGUGGUUUAAUUCGAAGCAACGCGCAAAACCUUACCUGGGUUUGACAUGCAUGGAUUAGCAACUAGAAACAGUUGUGACGCUCGCAAGAGUGGAACGUGCACAGGUGCUGCAUGGCUGUCGUCAGCUCGUGUCGUGAGAUGUCGGGUUAAGUCCCUUAACGAGCGAAACCCUUGCCGUUAGUUGCCAGCGGGUCAUGCCGGGGACUCUAGCGGGACUGCCGUGGUUAACACGGAGGAAGGUGGGGAUGACGUCAAGUCCUCAUGGCCUUUAUGCCCAGGGCUACACACGUGCUACAAUGGUAGGUACAAAGCGCCGCAAGACCGCAAGGUGGAGCUAAUCGCCAAAAGCCUAUCCCAGUACGGAUUGUGGGCUGCAAUUCGCCCGCAUGAAGUUGGAAUCGCUAGUAAUCGCGCAUCAGCAUUGGCGCGGUGAAUAUGUUCCUGAGCCUUGUACACACCGCCCGUCAAGCCACGGAAGCCGGUAGUGCCCGAAGUCGUUGACCUAACCCGCAAGGGAAGGAGGCGCCGACGGUAAGACCGGUGACUGGGACUAAGUCGUAACAAGGUAGCCGUAGGAGAACCUGCGGCUGGAUCACCUCCUUUCUAGGGA
rnacentral:rRNA from 1 species